GCUUGUAAGUACAUUGGCAUCCUGAAUUACUCAAGGGAUCAAUUAAUCAACGGGAGCAUGAGAGCCAGGAGCCUAUCUUCUAGCUUCUACUCUGCCUCUCACCUGCCAGAGACCUUGGGCCACCACCUGCCUGACUUGAGUUUGACUCAUCCUCUCCAGGAUCCCUUCCAGCUUCUGUGCUACACACACAGGCAAUGAGGUGAAGCUUUAUCACCUACAGCGGGUACCAGAAUUCCUCUAAGGCGCAGAAGGUCUCUAUCUGGGGAGAUACCUUAAAGAGCAGACGGUGAGGUCUGAAAGGCAUGGGUAUGUGCCAGAUCCAAGGCCAUGGGGGCACAGGUCGGCCUGUUCUGCAGGAAAUGAGAGAACAGUGAACAUGGCCGUCUGAACCUGACCUUUCCAGCUGGACCCAUCCCUCUCGGGCUUAACCCCACUGCCCCACCAGAGUUCACUCUGCCCUCAAGGAAGCCCUCCUUGACUACCUGUCUUCC
ensembl:lncRNA